rnacentral:rRNA from 1 species
UACGGGAGGCAGCAGUGAGGAAUAUUGGUCAAUGGGCGAGAGCCUGAACCAGCCAAGUAGCGUGCGGGACGACGGCCCUAUGGGUUGUAAACUGCUUUUAUGCGGGGAUAAAGUGACGUACGUGUACGUUUUUGUAGGUACCGCAUGAAUAAGGACCGGCUAAUUCCGUGCCAGCAGCCGCGGUAAU